rnacentral:tmRNA from 1 species
GGGGGCGACCGGUUUCGACAGGUCUCGUGUAGGUACAGGGAGCAUGCCGAGGUCCCACAGCCUCGUUAAUAAUGUGGAACAGUAUAAACGACAAUAACUACGCUUUAGCUGCUUAAUGCGGCACCGUCUCACCUUCUUUGCCUACGGGGAGAUGCGGCGGACCAACAGUAGGCUGCUCUUUUGAACUCUAAUCCCGGUUCAGAAGCUAAGAUUCAGGGAAGGUAGCUUUGCGGUAUUCUGUCCGGAGAAGCCCGCAAAGCGAAUCUAAAUUCCGGAACAAGCAUGUAGCGCCCUUGCUAAAGCAGGUCUGGACGUGGGUUCAAAUCCCACCGCCUCCACC